AGUCACAAGCCGCUCCGGCGAGUGGACGGUGCCUGGGCGGCCGCCCCGCGGGCAAAGGUCUCGGGACCCGGUCUGUCAGACCUCGGACGUGGAAACUGGCAUCUCCCCUGGCUCGGAGUCCGCCCUCUCGGGGCGCCAGCGCAGGUGACCUGGGGCGCGCAGCCCUUGGGAUGCGAGUUGAUCGAUGUGCCUGAGGUGGCCUCUCUGAUUCCACAGCUGUCCCCGUGAGCAGGCGGCUCCAUGCUUCAAAGGCCCUGGAUUCCUGGGACAUGAUGCCACCUUUCCUGAAGUCUGGGCUCCUUACCUUCUCUCUGCUCCGGGCAUACCAUUCCCAAAGGACAGUGGUACUGCAGGGAGCAUCUGCUGGGCCCCCUCCAUGUGUUCUGGACAGGCUGGGGUCCUGGGAAGGGUGCACCACCCAAGUGCGGGGGUGGCAUUCAAGCUCAACACAGAACCUGUGAGAAUGGGCCUGACUGUGCUGGCUGCAGUGUGUUGGUUGAAACCGAGGAUGCAGAACAUGUGGACAUGGAGGCCUGUCUAAUUAUCAUCAGUCAGCCACCAUAGGCAACGGGCACGAGUCACACGACACAACAGAAAACAGUUUAAGAAAAUGCUACCCCAGAGCAGGUUUCUCUUGUCCUUGGAAACAGCCUGGCAUGAAGAGCAGUCUUUGCUUCCUCCACUUAAUUUGCCUCAGCCGAGCCUGCAGUCAGCAUCUCUCACCGGGCCCACCUCAGCUCCAGGGGCCAUUCGAGGGACCAGCUGGAGUUUUCUGGUGUUUCCUGGAUUUAUCACUAAAAGACCUGCAUCCUGGGAAAGCACUUUCUCAGUCCCCUGAAGAGUAGAGAUGGACAUUCACCCAAAGGAAGGCUUGUUUCUCAGAGGAAGACCAAAACCUUAUUACCAGACCAAGGCAGGAUGAAAAGUGGGCUGGACAAAAACAAUUAAGCCUCAUGGCGUAGCCCUCUUAGGAGCAGAUGGUGGUGUGUCAUCUUCUAAACUCUACUGUCACUUGGGGGAACUGGCAGAGGAGGAGCCUGGUGUGUGGACCUGGUUUGCCACUUUGUCUAGGAGGCCCCAGAGCCCUGUGUGUUACGGGGGCUGUUAAUUACUCAGGGAGGUUAUCACACGGUCCCUUCUCUGCAUUGGACAGAAAUACAUCUCCCUGUGAUGACAGAGACACAGCGGUUCUUUUUACUCUGCUCUUUCCUUGGGUCCUCCACUCCGAGUGUCCCUGAUUCCUGCGCAGUGUCCUUCCAAAGCCUGGGUUUGGAGGACAGGACCUAUGUGUCCCAUAUCAGCUGCCGUCUGUUGCUAACAAACUGAGGUUACACCAGCUCUAACUGAGCAUUCAUUUAUUUAAUAACAGGCACAGAAAAGCCUCUGGAGUUGCCAGCAUGGUAGAAACCUAGACCAGGCCUCUGAGGGCGUGUAAACAAGUACCCAGGUCGUGAGACCAAUUUCUGCUGAAAUCAGUUAAUUUUGCUGGGUUCCUUGGCUGCGGCCUCACCUCCCACCUCCUGCAAACCUCGCUCCAGUGAGUGUCCAGGCGUCCAGAGGAAGGAGUUUCCAUGGGUCACUGAAAAUCUGCCACCACUCCUGCGAACUCGGUAGACCACUGUCGUUCUCCUUCGUUCAGUCGGUGAACGUGGCGUGUUCCAUACAUAUGUUGCAUCAUUAAAUGUCAUUUCUGAGCGAGGAUUAAAAUUACCAAGUGACUUAGACUUAAUGAUAUAUUAACUGCACAGCUCAUCAGAAUCCUUUCGUACUGCGAUCUCCCAUUUUAUCAAAAAAUUCAUGCUUGAUCAUGCACCAGAGUAGUCAAAAGGUGGGCUUCUGGAAACUUGCAUCGGCUAAAGCCAGAUAUGAUUUCUGUCCCAUGAAACUUGUGUUAAUGAUGUCAUCAGAGGGAAAAAGAAGCCUCACUCGAAAAUUAACUUACACUUCUACUCUGAGGAGGUGGUUUGGGAACAGAGGAGCUAGGACCUUCUUUUUGAGGCUUAAGGGAAUUUACUCACGUUUGCUUAAGUAUGGCACGGUUUUUGUUUAUUUGUUUGGUUAGCUGGUUUGGUUUCCAGGUUUGGUUUUGGUUAGCCUAACCCCGUUGCUUCAAAAUUACUGAAAAAAAAACUGAUCUUUAUAGUUUAUGAUAACAUUAUACUCUGAAUCCUAAAGCCUUCCCCAUCUCAUUUCAGAGAUGUUCCAACCGAAAUUACUCUUUCAUUUCAUGAAUCAACAAAAUAAGUCCAAUAUUACGAUGAUCACCAAUCAAAACACACCUUGGGGAUAUCCUCUUGCAUCUGGAAUUGGCACAAUGCUGAUUGGUUGUAUAACUGUCCCCACCUCGUCUUGGGAAAUUCGAUGAUAUUUUACCUCUGCCACUCCUAAGAAACCAAGACAGGCGUGCCAGGCUUCUCUCUACCUGAAUGCACAGAUAGAAAGAGGGUUUGGUGAAGAGCUGGAACGUGGAUGACAUAUGCUAUGUUUUCUUUGCACGUCCAUGGAUAAAAGUUAUGACGUAAAGGUACACCCUCAACAAUUGGCCAGUACAUUUCCUGUGGGCCAUGUAGGUGUUUGGUACAUUACUGGAUGCAAAGGUGGUAUGACAAAAAGUACGAGACACACUGCUUAAGAGCUGUCAUCACUCGGCGGUCUGUGGAUCACCCACCCAGCUCUGGGUUGUUUCUGGAGGUGCAGAAGAUACAUAAAUGUGGCUGCUUUCCUGAAGAAACAUGUACACUAUUUGGAGGUCUCAGCAGAGCUCGACUGGAUAGUAGGUGCGGCCUCUAAAAGCCAAGGUCUUCAUCACCUGCAGAAUGGUAGCCUCAGAAUAACAUUUGAGUUGUAAAUCUCUUCUGAGGGCUAAAGCGUAUUUCAUAAAAAUGAAGAUUUAUGGAGUUUCUGGAUGGUGCAGUGGGUUAAGAAUCUGACUGCAGUGGCUCAGGUCGCUGAGGAGGCUCAGGUUCAAUCCCCAGCCCAGUGCCGUGGGUUAAAGGGUCUGGUGUGGGUUGCAGCUGCCGCUCAGAUUCAAUCUCUGGUCAGGGAACUUCCAUCUGCCGUGAGUGCAGCCAUUAAAUUAAAUUUUUUUAAAAAGAUAGAGAUUUAUAGUGAUAAAAGCUAGCAGGAGAGUCUUAUGCAAACUAAAAUUUUCAGCUCUUAUAUUCAUGGAAGAACCACGUCUGUAGGCUAACAAAUUAAGAGUGAGAAUGCUAAAUCAUUACUUCCCCUUACGCUGCUUUGAAAUCUCCUAUGAGUCCCCAAAGGGAGAAAUGGUUUGUGUGCUUUACUGCUGUGUGUCUGUUCUCGAGUCUGUAUUUCUUGAUGGUAAUUUGUGUCUGCGUGUGUGAGAAUGCUUAAAAUAUGGUCUCUGCAACUUUCAAGUACGCAUAUAACACGGAUAUUGUGUUAUUAACGGUAGUCCCCAUGCUGAACGUUAGGUCCUCUGACCUUAUUCUUAUGUCUGAAAAUGUGUAUCAUUUGACCUCCAUUACUUCAUUUUCUCCUCCUCCCAGCCACUGGUAACCACCAUUCUGUUAUUCUAUUCUCUGUUUCUAUGAAAUCAGCUUUUUUAAAAGUUCCACACGUAGAUAAUAAUAUGAGAUAAUAUUUAUCUUUGUCUGGCUUAUUUCACUUAGCAUCAUGCCAUCCAGGUUCAUCACAAAUGGCAGGAUUUCCUCCCUUUUUCUGGCUGCAUAAUAUUCCAUCAUGUUCCAUUUUCUUUAUGUCUUCAUCCAUUCAUGGACAUUUAAGUUGUUCCUGAACCUUGGCUACUAGGCAUAAUGCUGCAGUGAACAUGGGAGUGUAGCUAUCUCUUCAAGAUACUGAUUUAGGUUCUUUUGGAUAUAUGCUAGAAGUGAAAUUGCUGGUAGUUCUAUUUUAAAUUUUUUGGGGGAUGGCCAUUCUGUUUUCCACAGUGGCCGCACUGAUUUACAUUCUCACCAACAGUUUAUAAGGAUUCCCUUUUCUCCACAUCCUCGCCAACAUAUUUUAUCUCUUUUCCCUUUGAUAAUAGCUUGAUGAUAAUUGUUCUCGAGUCUUGUACAGAGCUUUGUGGAACUGCAUCUCUUUCUUUCAGAUAAAUGAGUGUUUGAUCUCAGGAAAUCUUCCAUUGCCACUGGUAAAUCUGAGCUGUCUCCAUUUUAAAUUGAGUUAAAAGCAAAAGUACCGCCUACCCUCCGAAGCUUUUCUUUAAUUCCUAGUAUCAGUGUGUUUAAUUGGAAAGAGAUUUUAAAGACCAAUAGUGUAAGGCUUAAGAGAUUCUGGCACCUUUGGGGAUUGUUUUAAAAUUAUUGCAUGAAUUCUUUUUUAUUUUUUUUCCCACUGGGGGUUAGGCCUGACAGGCCACGAAUGGAUCUGUCAUUCUCCCAUAUACUCUCAGUAUUUAUUAUUAUCAUCUGCCUCAGGGGCUUGUAGAUUAAUCAAAAAUAUCCUUAAGUUAUCUUACAAGUAAAAGGAAAUUAACCAGCUUUCCCACCUCAUUUUAUGCUAAUAUAUUAAAUUAUGAGCUCUGAAGAAAUUAACAAGGACCUGAGAUCAAUGACUGUCUCUUCCUCUGAGUAAAUUAAAAUAGAAUAAGUACAAAUAUUCUGUAAUCAUCAGGUAUUAAACUCCUUUCCUCUUUUUUCCCCCUUUUAACAUAACUCAGGCUGUAAAACCUAAAUAAAAUCUUACAUCUAGUUCAAACCCCUUCCUUUGGAAAAGAAAAGCAUGAGGUCUGGUGGAAUUAAAAUCACUUUCUCUCAACGACAGAACUAGUGUGUGUGUGUGUGUGUGUGUGUGUGUGUCUACGUGUGUGUGUCUGCAUGUGUGUAAACCAUAUGUACAUACUUAUAGAAACACAUUGUGUAUAUAUGUAUGUACACACGGUGUACAUAACAUAUACACAAUGAGUGUAUGUAAACCGAGAGUAUCAUUCCUUCCUAAAUAAUCCUACAUUUAUUUGGGGUGACACAUGAUAAAAUGUAUAGUGAAAUCUGGAAGGUGAUUUCAUGACUUCCUAAAGACUAACAGGAGAAUUGUUAUAAAAUUUCUAUGAGAAAAAAAUAAUACUUUCACAUCUCUAAUGAAACACACCCUUUUAAAAAGUGAAGAGUGUUUAACAUGAAAUAGCAUCAACUCUGUGAUGCCAUUAUCCUCUCAGAACCCAUCAAGUCAUACACAAAAUCCUAAUGAAUUUAUCGACAGCUCAUCCAUCCAGAGUUCCGACUUGAGUUGAGGCAGGUGUCAAGAUGCACUUGCCAAACAGGGUGAUAACACCGCCCCCACAGUUUCAUCGCAAAGCACCAUCUGCUCCAAGCACAUGGACUGUCAAAUCCUGGCUUGUGCCCCCUGGCAUUUGGUGACGGUGGCACUGACAUGCAGUGACUUUGGAGGAUGCGUUCACAUUCUCAGUUCUUCAAACCCUGCCUAGGUCACAGCAGCAAUCUGUCAACGGAGGCGGUUGGAAGAGGCAGGAGGCAAUGUAUUCUGUUUGUCUGGUCCCCACUCUGAACAUGACUAGUUUUUAUGCCAGUCACCAUGUCUAAAAUGUCUUCAAAGAGCACCUGUGAUCAUGCUCUCUCUCAAACCCGGUCACUGAGAUGUUCUAAGUCAACGGUUUCCACGUGACACCAAGAGACACAAAGCCUUAACCGUGUUAGAGAUUUCGUGAAGCUCUGGUCAGGAAGGGAAUGGCAUUGGGGCCACCUGACCUUCACGUGAAGACACGCUAUCACAUUUCUGUAACAAAGGGUGCUGGGGGGGCUGGCGGUGAAAUGCUGUCUCAACUCAGUUUUGAGGCCCUGGCAGGAGGCCUGCCAGUUUCUCUUCGCAAGAAUUGCUCAAGUCCACACCACACACACUUCCUUUGUGGGACUCUCAUAUUUCAGGUGCUAUGCAGUCACCCUAACUGCCCAGGGGACAGGUCCCCACUAGGAUCAACUCUGUGCCCCAGGGCCCCCAAAUUUAUGCACGUUGGCCAGUUCACUGAGAGCCUGGUAAAGCCUGGCCAAGCCCGCCCCACUUGCCACACCGAGCUGCAGCUGUGGCUCCAGCCUCCUGGCACCGUGUCCCCAAGUGUGGGUCCUGUGGCAGCCUUCUCUCGUUUAGAGCUGAAAGUAACAAGAGAUCUGCCUUUCAAGGACCUGGGUAUCUUUAUGUUCUGUCCUACCAUCCCGCCAAUUACCAUCCUCCAUAAUAAAUUCUAAUUAUAAAACAAUCACGUUGAUUUGAGUGAUCGAAGUCCCAUUUCUCCAAAUGCCCUUGUUUGGAAGAAGUCUUUUUCUUUUAUCUCCUAGUUCUUUCAUUGUUUUAAGAUUUAUUGAAGUGUAGUUAAUUUACACAGUUUUGAUGAUUUCUGUUGUACAACAAAGGGACAGAGUCAUACAUAUACACAUACCAUUCUCUCUCAGCUUCUUUUCCCACAGAGAUUAUCACAGAACAGUGGGUGGUGUUCUCUGGGCUACACAGCAAGUCCUCAUUGGCCAAUGGAUCCAUGUACCUCAGUGUGCAUAUGCAGAAGUCUGUUUAAAGUCCAGAAACUUACACAUCAGUGAUCCUCAAGGAAUUCCCGCAUAAUAGGAUCGGUGGCAUCUCUGGAGCUCCAGGAAUCAGGUCUGAUCCCUGGCCCCACACUGUAGGUCAAGGGAUCCAGUGUUGCCACAGCUGCUUGGAUCUGAUCCCAAGCCCAGUAACUUCAUAUGCUGCAGGGCGGCCAAAAAUGGAAAAAAAAAAAA
rnacentral:lncRNA from 1 species